GACAGAGGGUGCAAACGUUGUUCGGAAUUACUGGGCGUAAAGCGCGUGUAGGCUGCUUCGCAAGUCGGAUGUGAAAGCCCUGGGCUCAACCCAGGAAGUGCAUUCGAAACUGCAGAGCUGGAGUCCUGGAGAGGAAGGCGGAAUUCUCGGCGUAGAGGUGAAAUUCGUAGAUAUCGAGAGGAACACCGGUGGCGAAGGCGGCCUUCUGGACAGUGACUGACGCUGAGACGCGAAAGCGUGGGGAGCAAACAGG
rnacentral:rRNA from 1 species